GGAGAUUCUCUGGGAAGAUGUGACAAGAUGGGUACACAGGCCCCAAACAGGAAUUCUUCACCCAGUUCAGCAGGAAGCAAUUAUCAGAAGACCGUCGUCCCAAGCCCUUAAGUUGAGGAUUUCACAGUGUAGUCCAAGCUCGCUGGAACCUGUUGUGUAAACAAGAUUGGCCUUGAACUUAUAGUGAUCUUCCUGCCUCAGUCUCUGAAGUACUAAAUGGGCCACUAUUCCCUGAAAAGCCUACAUCUUGACAGUGGCAUCCCUAGAUUUUAUUUAGAAAUUAAACUCAGGGCUUCUUGUACACUAGACAAAUGUUCACACACACACACACACACACGUGUGACGGGCCAGUGAGUCUGCUUGUGAGUAGAGGAGAUAUUUACCACGCAAGCCCAGCGCUGCGUCAGCCUUUCCAUUCUCGCGUUGUAUGCGGAACGCCUCAUGGGUGCGCGCCAGGGAAGCAUGGGAGUACAGCAAGGUGUAAGCAAGCUCAAGAGAAGCUUGGUCAGGUCUGCGAGUGAGCAAGCAGGAGGCCUGACAGCCUCCAGGAACCCCCACUUUCUUCUAACGGGGCUUGCUUUGCUCUCACCAAGGACAGAAUGUAUUCUGGGAAAUUCAGCCAAGGAACCUCGUGUUCGUUUUAUUCACGUGCCUUCCCCGUAAAGGUGGGCCACUCACAGUGAGAGUAACACAGACAGCGAAGACACUGGCUCCUCUCAGUCUUUCCCUACUCCUCAUUAGGCAUAGUCAGAAAGCACCCGUGGAGUAUGUCUCAUUGAAACGUGAAACACAUGCAGUACUGUGCGGUGUUUUCCGAGGUCUGUUUAAAAGCAAAAUGCAUGCACAUGUGUGGGACACAAACCACAAACCAUGAUUUGAUUCGGGUAAUUCUGAAAUCUGAAUAGAAUUUGAACCGAGAGAGGCUGCAUGGUACAAUGCAGAAACCAUGGGCUUUCAUAACUGGGAAAGAAGAAGAAGAAGAAGAAGAAGAAGAAGAAGAAGAAGAAGAAGAAGAAGAAGAAGAAGAAGAAGAA
rnacentral:lncRNA from 1 species